rnacentral:rRNA from 1 species
UACGUAGGCAGCGAGCGUUUGUUCGGAGUUACUGGGCGUAAAGGGUGUGUAGGCGGUUGUUUAAGUUUGGUGUGAAAUCUCCCGCUCAACUGGGAGGGUGCGCCGAAUACUGAAUGACUUGGAGUGCGGGAGAGGAGAGUGGAAUUCCUGGUGUAGCGGUGAAAUGCGUAGAUAUCAGGAGGAACACCGGUGGUGUAGACGGCUCUCUGGACCGUAACUGACGCUGAGACACGAAAAGCGUGGGGUAGCAAACAGG